rnacentral:lncRNA from 1 species
UAAUAUUCAACAAACGGCCGCGCAGCGUCAAACAACCUUAUAUGGCCACUGCUUUAUCGGCUGGGUUUGAUGAAAUCAAGCCUCCUGAUAUCACAAAAUCGGGUGUUGAAGAACGAUUGUUGACUGCUCAUUGGAUUUCGUAGACAAUCUCGACCCAGGACUUAAAAAUGAAGGAGCUACUUGCUAUAUGAAUUCACUGAUACAGACGUUAUACCAUAUACCUUACUUCAGAAAGGCCCAAGUGUAGAGGAGCGGGCUAUUUUGUAUUUGGAAGCCCAAGACCGCGUAACAAAAGGGGCCUCACUAAAAUGGCUCUAACUUGGGCUACGGGGGUCCGUUUGGGAUGUGCGACCAGGCGGUUUGGGUCAUCGUCCGGGCCAAAAAACGCUUAUUUCCAUGAGUUGUUUUAUGUUUUAUGUUUUUUAGUGGGUUUUUUGGACUUUUGAUUUGUUCUAGUUUUUGGCCCAAGUGUGUUUUAGGCCCAUUUUCGAAUUUAAGUCUCUAUUUAUAUGUUGCUAAAGAUAAUGAAAAGUUCAAACUUGAAUUUUGAGAAAACUGAUUUUUCACUUCAAAUUCCGUGCCCUUUGGGUUGAAUUUUGGGGUUGGGGAAGAACUACACGGGUAUUCGUAGAAUCAACGUGUUUGAUCUUCAUUUAUCGUACCACGCACUACAUCACUUUUGAAUCAGGUUGUAUAUCAUCAACGAGAAUGAUAUGCCAUCGGGUAGCAUUCCUCUGGCUUUGCAGAAUAUAUUCGAUAAGCCUCAGAAUAGUGAGACUAGUGUAGCUACAAAUGAGUUGAUUAAGUCUUUGUGGUAACUGUUAAACUAUCUCUUACAUCUUAAUUCAAAUUCAACUUGGGCUUAAGUGUGGUUUUAAUUGCUUGCUAAUCACUUAUCUUACCAAACAAAUUUAUCAUGAUUUUUAAGAACAUUAUCUUUUGCUGUUUAUAGGGCCCCACCAAGGGGUUGGAGAGCCACAUCCCGGCCAAGGCGUUUUUUAUGGAGUUAAAUUUUUUAUAUAUAUUAUCAACUUGGGCUUAAGUGUGGUUUUGAUAUUCAGUAGAUGCGCUUCACUAUUUUUAUGGUGUUAUCUUUCAAGUUUUGGUUUUGCAAUAUAUUAGUAUUUUGAAAAAAAAAAAGAAUUAUCUUUUAAUACCUAAUAUAUAAUUUUUAUGGUUUUUUAGGUGCGCUUUUUUCUUUGGCCCGCACUUUUUUUGCGCUUCUCGCCUAGGCCCUAGGCGAAGCCUAUAUGCACCUUGAGUGCGCCUUUCAUAACUAUGCGCCUUGAGUCUUGGGACCGGCUCUGGCUGUUUAUUAUUAUAAUCCUAUAUUCCUGAUUCCAUAAAAUAAAAUUAUUGACCAAGAAACUUUUUUAACAUUCUUGAAUUAGAAUAUGAUCAAACCUAAAAUUCUAAGGCAUAUUUGUGAUUGAUUGAGUCAGCCAGAUGAAAAACUUGUAUAAUGUUUUGGUUGAAUUGAUCCUGACUUCUAUCUUCCUUUUUUUAUCUUUUAUAUCUGCCUUAUAGAGUUGCUGGAAUGUGUUGAUCAUCAAUUCGAUAAACUUGGGUUGCUUCUUAUGAGAUUUACGGCGGAUUAUCUUUAGUGAAUGAAGAUCUUUGGCAGAUAAUGAAAACCGAGCGAUCUGAUACAAGAGUAGAUCCUUGGUGCGGAGAUCACAAACUGACCUUCAUUAGGAUGUUGCAACGUAAAUGUAAUGCGCUCAAUAUUCAAAGUGGCCAGAGCAGAAAUCGCAUGUUGGAGAUGGACUUGUUUUAAGCCCAAAGUCAAAGUUCAAAAAGAGUUUUCAAGAUAACAAGAUCAAAACAAAGAUAAAUCUAGUUCACUCCGUGUUUGCUUGUUGUUUGUGCAUGCGUCUGUCGACUUCGUCUUGUAUCGAGUCUUGUCUUAGAUAGAUAGAUUAGGGCACGUUGUACAAGAUAGAAUGUAAAAUUGCAUGAAAGUUGUGUUCAUGUAAUUCCGCAUGAAAUUAAGUUUCGCAUGGAAACUUAAUUCCGUUUGGAACACUCUCACAUGGAAUUAACUGCCUAUAAAUAGGCCACUUCAUGCGAAAUCAAGGGAGAACUUUCCGGUUUGUGCAACGAAGUGCUGCCGUGUAGGUCCCUUUCCGGAGGAUGACGAACCUAAACCUUGUUAUACAAACUCACUAGCGAGUGCGGAAUCCAAGCUAGCAAGCAAACCGGGAUGAAGCAAGUAUAAACACAACACACAAGGUUCACCGAUUAGCACCAAUGUAUUAAUACGUAUGAAGGUUUCGGU